CAGAUCUCCGCGAGAAGAAAAAAGUUAAAAGAAUUAACAAUGUGUCCAGAGAUUUUCAAUCCUUACCGCGUUUCGAGUUUCGACGUACGCGACGGAUAGAAACACCAACGAAAUUAAGGACGACGAACGAGAUGAUGAGCACGAUAUCAUACGCGGUUUGGCCCUGCAUAAUACCAAACUAGCUAUAUCCUCAGUGCUUAUCUCCUCCCGGCUCUAUCUCAGGUUUUCAUGGCGCAUAUGUAUCAGACUAGCUAGGCAUCGAUCGUGAAUGCGCGCAUGCAUGCAUGACGUACGACGCAUCAGCUAGCUAAUUUGCUAUAGCUAGGUUUACAUAAGUUGUUGUAUAUGUUACAGCUAUAGGUUUAUAAGAAUAGUUGUACAAAGUUUACUCUUCACUUAUCCUAUACAUAUCAAUACAAAAUAAAAAAUAAACUAGAAUACUCCUAAUUUAUCAAUAAUACAAUUAAUUACUCACUUUAUCUACUCCCAAUACAAUUAUUCCCUAUUUUAAAAGAACUCCAAUGCAAUGAUUAUUUAAAAAUAAACUUAUUUUACAACAAAAGUAGGAGCCAAAAAUAAACCUAUUAACAGAGAGGGAAUAUAUAUGUAAGUAUAACCCAAGCACCUAGCGUACGUGUCCAUGCUCAAUUGCUCAUGAACUAGCCGGGCUAGCUUUAGCUAUAGCUAUCUAACACCGGACCGGCCGAUCGAUGUUCGAUGGAAAAAUAGCCAAACCGUUCGUCCGGCCGGUCGGGCCGGCGGCGCCGCCUAUAAAUAGAUUGCAAAGCACUCAGCGAUCACCUCUCCUCCUCGAUCCCAUGAGCCACUGCGUUCUAGCUAGCUAGCUACUGGGCGGUGGCCGGGUCACCCACACCGAUCGAUCCACUCGAUCUCACCUACACUCGCCGUCGACGUCCAGCUGCACCGCGCGCUGCGCCGCCACUGCUUGCCAUGGCUCCGCCGCAGCCGCCGGCACGCCGGGUCGUCGCGCCGCGGUACGUGCCGAGGAGGGGGAUGGUACUCAGGGCCGUGUUCGCCGUCCUCCUCUCGUGGCUCCUCCGUCGCCGCCGCCAUCACCGUCGCCACCGCCGCCGCCCGCGGCGCCACGGCGGCGGCGGCGGCGUCGUCGAGCCCGCACCACCAGAUCAGCCGAACGCCGCGGGCUAACGCGCGCCCACCACUACUCCGACCAGCUGCAUGUACAUGCAAUAUUACUGCUGCUUAAUUUAAGUGAGUGAGUUUUCCGGGUUGUGUUUUCCUGUAGUUUUCUUGGUCCAGCUCGCUAGCUUGAACAAGAAAGGUUAACUAUUUUUUAACCUGAACUUUUAAUUCUCUUUCUCCGUGCUGAUUAAACUGCAGGUCAUCAAGUAAAUUAACCCAGCCCAGAAAUGAUCAAGUAGAUAGAACGGAAGCAGAUCCUCUAAUUUAACUGCACAUGCAGUUGAGUCACUGGCAUAUGGGUCCCACUUUACUAUGGCCUACAUGUCAGUGACUCAACUGCGCAGCAGUUAAAUCAGAGGAUCCCUUUUACACUAGCGUAGAGACCAAAGUUAAGGUCUACGGUGGAGUCAAGCAACCGGUGGUUGGGACUUGGGAUUGAUCAGUGAUCAUCAUAUCGGGUGGACCUGUGCGGGUCAACGUUAAUUAUUGUUCUUUCAUUUGUUAUUAAUUAGUUAAAUUUGUUCGUUCCUUAUAUAUAUAUAUAUAUAUAUAUAUAUAUAUAUAUAUAUAUAUAUAUCC
rnacentral:lncRNA from 1 species